GACGAACGCUGGCGGCGUGCUUAACACAUGCAAGUCGAACGGAAAGGCCCCUUCGGGGGUACUCGAGUGGCGAACGGGUGAGUAACACGUGAGUAGCCUGCCCUUGACUUCGGGAUAACUUCAGGAAACUGGGGCUAAUACCGGAUAGGAAUCCUUGCUUCAUGGUGGGGGUUGGAAAGCUUCGGCGGUUUUGGAUGGACUCGCGGCUUAUCUGCGUGUUGGUGGGGUAGUGGCUUACCAAGGCUUUGACGGGUAGCCGGCCUGAGAGGGCGACCGGCCACAGUGGGACUGAGAUACGGCCCAGACUCCGACGGGAGGCAGAAGGGGGGAAUAUUGAACAAGGGGCGGAAGCCGGAUGCAGAAACGCCGCGUGCGGGAGGACGGCCUUCGGGUUGUAAACCGAUUUCAGCAGGGGCGAAGCUUGUGGUGACGGUACCUGCAGAAGAAGCACCGGCUAACUACGUG
rnacentral:rRNA from 1 species